UACGGAGGGUGCGAGCGUUGUCCGGAAUCACUGGGCGUAAAGGGCGCGUAGGCGGCAUGCCAAGCGUGUGGUGAAAGCCCGGGGCUCAACCCCGGGUCGGCCGUGCGGACUGGCGUGCUCGAGCACUGUAGGGGCGGGUGGAAUUCCGGGUGUAGCGGUGGAAUGCGUAGAGAGCCGGAAGAACACCGGUGGCGAAGGCGGCCCGCUGGGCAGGAAGGCUCGCAAGAGCCGGCUGACGCUGAGGCGCGACAGCGUGGGGAGCAAACAGG
rnacentral:rRNA from 1 species